UGCAGUCGGACGGGAUUCGAAACUUCGGUUUUGAUGAGAGUGGCGCACGGGUGCGUAACGCGUAUGCAACCUACCUAUUACAGGGGGAUAGCCCGGGGAAACUCGGAUUAAUACCCCAUAGUAUAUUUGAAUGGCAUCAUUUAGAUAUUAAAGAUUUAUCGGUAAUAGAUGGGCAUGCGUAGGAUUAGCUAGUUGGUAAGGUAACGGCUUACCAAGGCUACGAUCCUUAGGGGUUCUGAGAGGAAGGUCCCCCACACUGGUACUGAGAUACGGACCAGACUCCUACGGGAGGCAGCAGUAGGGAAUAUUGGGCAAUGGACGGAAGUCUGACCCAGCCAUGCCGCGUGCAGGAAGACGGCCUUAUGGGUUGUAAACUGCUUUUAUCAGGGAAGAAAAAGGCCAUGCGUGGCAAAUUGCCGGUACCUGAUGAAUAAGCACCGGCUAACUCCGUGCCAGCAGCCGCGGUAAUACGGAGGGUGCAAGCGUUGUCCGGAUUUAUUGGGUUUAAAGGGUGCGUAGGCGGGUUAAUAAGUCAGCGGUGAAAGUCCAGUGCUCAACACUGGAAUUGCCAUUGAUACUGUUAAUCUUGAGUGUCGAUGGGGUACAUGGAAUUUAUGGUGUAGCGGUGAAAUGCAUAGAUACCAUAAGGAACACCGAUAGCGAAGGCAUUGUACUUAUCGAUAACUGACGCUG
rnacentral:rRNA from 1 species